rnacentral:lncRNA from 1 species
GAUAUCCCAUUAUAAGUAACAGAAAAUGGACCAAGACACAUAUAGCUUCUUUUUUCAUCCUUUUUCUUUUCUUUUCUUUUUUCUGAGACAUAGUCUUGCCCUGUUGCCAGGCACCAGGCUGGAGCACAGCGGCACAAUCUCGGCUCACUGCAACCUCUGCCUCCCGGGUUCAAGCAAUUCUCCUGCCUCAGCCUCCUGAGUAGCUGAGAUUACAGACACGCGCCACCAUGCCCAGCUAAUUUUUUGUAUUUUUAGCAGAGACGGGGUUUCACCAUGUUGACCAGGAUGGUCUCGAUCUCUUGACCUCGUGAUCCACCUGCCUUGGCCUCCCAAAGUGCUGGGAUUACAGGCUUGAGCCACCGCGCCCUGCCCUCUAAUUCUCUUUUCUUCAAAAUCCUCCCAUUAGGCUGGGCGUGGUGGCUCACGCCUGUAAUCCAAGCACUUUGGAGGCCAAGGUGGGCGGAUCACCUGAGGUCGGGAGUUCAAGACCAGCCUGACCAACAUGGUGAAACCUCGUCUUUAUUAAAAAAACAAACAAAAAAACAACCCCAAAUCCUCCCGCCAUUCCCUAGUUUGGAGGGUGGAGAGCACUGCCAGCCAUUGCUGUGUGGGGAGUAGAAGUCCAGCCUUCCUACUUGGUCUCCGUGGUGGCUUCCCAUGGGGGAGCAAAGCAUGAUUUGAGUGCUCUGCUGCUGCUGGGUGGCGGGUGUGGGUGCAGACUCCCCACUGGCUAACACAGCUGGCUGUGGGGCAGGAAGAGUCCCCUGCAUCAUCUGCUGCUGUUGUGCUGCCACAGGCUGUCUGCUACCAUGUCUAAAGGAGAGGAAAGCCUUCCACCCUGGGCUGCUGUUGCUCGUUCUCCAGUGAUGGCAUGUUGCCAGGGCAGGAAUGUGCUGUCUCUGGGCUGCCCUGGGCUAUCUGCCACCAUCAAGUAGCCAGACUGCCUUCGUCUUUCCAUCUUGAGAGUCCUCCUCUGAUUGUUGCGGUAUCUCCAAGGUUUUAGUUGUGCUUUCUGAAAGAAACAGUGAGAAAUCAUAUCUGUGUCAGCUUGUCUGGAACCCUGCUGCUACUCUCAUCAAAGAGUGAAGGAUUUUUAUUUUGGUAAACUCCGAUUUAGAGAUUUUUUCUUUUAUAGUUCAUGCUUUUUGUGUAAUAUAUAAGGCUUUUCCCCAAACCCAGGCUCACUGGUGUAGUUCUCUAAUGCUGUGUGAUAAAUCACCCCCAAAAUCAG